CCUUCUUUAGCGCCUCCUUCUCCUCUGGUGCCAGCACCACUCGGGGCUUCUUGAUUUGCAGGAGGCUCAGGUCCUGGGGCUGCAGGCAGGGGCUGGGGCACUCAGAGCGGGCGGCUGGAGACUCACUGUCAGAGCCGGUGCUGAUGAGACCGUACCUGCGCUUCAGCAGCCCAGGCCAGCUGCUCCCAGAGUGUCCUGGAUGCCACCCAGCACCUGCAGGCUGGACCCCAGCGCCCUGGCAUCUCACUGUGGGCACUUGCUUCAAGGCAAGCAGGAGCCAAGCAGGAUAGGAGGCAA